ensembl:lincRNA Gm1322 predicted gene 1322
AGGGCUGCCUAUGACAGAUUUGGUGUCUUGUAACUGCUAUCUACCGACGUAUGUCCAUCAUGCCUGAUGUCCAUUAGUUGGAUGACAUCAGUGGGUUAAAGAACUGUUAAAUUUGUGCAUUUUUGUUUUCUUUCAUGGAUACGUGACUGUGGUACCUGAGUCAUUGGACUGAAACUUGACAGAGAAGGACAUGGCGGACAAUCUGGAGCCAUCUACCUUCCCCAUACAGAAGGGGUCACUGAGUCGCCUGAGGCAGAAAUGGGAAUCUAGUGACUAUCACAGAAAUGAGAGCUAUCCUGGAGGCAGCCGGUGCAAGCUCUUCCAGCUUAAGGAAAGCAACUUGCUUGAACCUGAAGGAGAGGCACUUUCAACACUUGACCCUCCAGAGGCACCAAGUCUGCCUUGCUGCAAAAAGGAAGAGGUAUUGUGUGGAGAGCCUGAAGAUGGAGUUCCUGAGGACCAGAAUGACAAACUCAAAGACUGUGGACAGCCUGAAGUACUGAAGGAGGAUUCCCUGACUGGCCGGCGCAGGAUUGAACGCUUUUCCAUUGCCCUAGAUGAGCUGAGAAGUAUAUUUGAGUCUCCCAAGAGUAGCAUAAACUCAGCUGGACCAGUUGAAUAUGUCCAAAAGGUAAGAAGCUAUUUAUUUCAGGAUUACAGCUAGCAAAUCUAGAGGAUUGCUUAGGCUGGCAUAUAGUCCUGAC